AGAGUUUGAUCAUGGCUCAGAGCGAACGCUGGCGGCAGGCCUAACACAUGCAAGUCGAACGGGCGUAGCAAUACGUCAGUGGCAGACGGGUGAGUAACGCGUGGGAACGUACCUUUUGGUUCGGAACAACACAGGGAAACUUGUGCUAAUACCGGAUAAGCCCUUACGGGGAAAGAUUUAUCGCCGAAAGAUCGGCCCGCGUCUGAUUAGCUUGUUGGUGAGGUAAUGGCUCACCAAGGCGACGAUCAGUAGCUGGUCUGAGAGGAUGAUCAGCCACAUUGGGACUGAGACACGGCCCAAACUCCUACGGGAGGCAGCAGUGGGGAAUAUUGGACAAUGGGGGCAACCCUGAUCCAGCCAUGCCGCGUGAGUGAUGAAGGCCCUAGGGUUGUAAAGCUCUUUUGUGCGGGAAGAUAAUGACGGUACCGCAAGAAUAAGCCCCGGCUAACUUCGUGCCAGCCGCCGCGGUAAUUC
rnacentral:rRNA from 1 species